GGCGGCGGUAGUCUAGCCUGGUUUAGGAUGGCGGCCUCCCAAAAGCCGUUGAUCCCGGGUUCGAAUCCCGGCCGCCGCACC
rnacentral:tRNA from 1 species